GACGGAGGAUGCAAGUGUUAUCCGGAAUCACUGGGCGUAAAGCGUCUGUAGGUGGUUUAAUAAGUCAACUGUUAAAUCUUGAGGCUCAACCUCAAAAUCGCAGUCGAAACUAUUAGGCUAGAGUAUAGUAGGGGUAAAGGGAAUUUCCAGUGGAGCGGUGAAAUGACGUAGAGAUUGGAAAGACCACCAAUGGCGAAGGCACUCUACUGGGCCAUUACUGACACUGAGAGACGAAAGCUAGGGGAGCAAAUGGG
rnacentral:rRNA from 1 species